rnacentral:sRNA from 1 species
UAAAAUAACUGAUUUUUAAGCGAUUAGUCAUUAAUCAAAGCGGAUAAGAUGGAUCUAACGAUUAAGCGAGGAUUAAUCGGGUUAGGUGGAGAUUCUUAGAACGGAGCUUUUUUGCUAUAUAAAUUUCAAUACUAUAUAUAUAU